rnacentral:rRNA from 1 species
CAGUAGCCACGGGAAUACAGAGGGUGCGAGCGUUAAUCGUAUUUACUGGGCGUAAAGCGUGCGUAGGCGGCUUCUUAAGUCGGAUGUGAAAUCCCUGAGCUUAACUUAGGAAUUGCAUUCGAUACUGGGAAGCUAGAGUAUGGGAGAGGAUGGUAGAAUUCCAGGUGUAGCGGUGAAAUGCGUAGAGAUCUGGAGGAAUACCGAUGGCGAAGGCAGCCAUCUGGCCUAAUACUGACGCUGAGGUACGAAAGCAUGGGGAGCAAACAGGAUUAGAUACCCCCGUAGUCCCUGUCUCUUAUAA